rnacentral:ncRNA from 1 species
AAACAGGGGCGCUGAGAGUUCUUCUCGGCUGAGAUUGGGGUAAAUUGCAGCCCCAGGUCGCCUUGAACCUGAUCCGGGUAAUGCCGGCGUAGGAAGUUUGU